GGGCUGGGGCUGAGUGGUAAAGCGCUUGCCUGGCACGUGUGAGGCCCUGGGUUCGAUCCUCAGUACCACA
rnacentral:tRNA from 1 species